rnacentral:rRNA from 1 species
AACAAGGAUUCCCCUAGUAACGGCGAGUGAAGCGGGAUGAGCUCAAAUUUGAAAGCUGGCAGCAAUGUCCGCGUUGUAAUCUCGAGAGAUGUUUUCCGCGCUGGACCACGUACAAGUUCCUUGGAAUAGGAUGUCAUAGAGGGUGAAAAUCCCGUACUUGAUGUGGACGCCCAGUGCUUUGUGAUACGUCUUCGAAGAGUCGAGUUGUUUGGGAAUGCAGCUCAAAAUGGGUGGUAAAUUCCAUCUAAAGCUAAAUAUUGGGGAGAGACCGAUAGCGAACAAGUACCGUGAGGGAAAGAUGAAAAGCACUUUGGAAAGAGAGUUAAACAGUACGUGAAAUUGUCAAAAGGGAAGCAUUUGAAGUCAGACGUGUAUUGCAGUAUUCAGCCUUGCUUUUGCUUGGUGUAUUUGCUGUAGUACAGGCUAACAUCAGUUUUGAGUGACGGAUAAGGGUAGAGAGAAUGUGGCAUCCUCGGAUGUGUUAUAGCUCUUUACUGGAUACGUCGUUUGGGACUGAGGAACGCAGCGCGCCGCAAGGCAGACCCUCGGGUACUUUCGCGCUUAGGAUG